GACGAACGCUGGCGGCGUGCUUAACACAUGCAAGUCGAACGAUGAAGUUCCUUCGGGAAUGGAUUAGUGGCGAACGGGUGAGAAACACGUGAGAAACCUGCCUUUCAUUUUGGGAUAACUCCGGGAAACCGGAGCUAACACCGAAUACUCCGUCUCGGCGGCAUCGCUGAGCCGGGAAAAAAUUUUGAUGAAAGAUGGUCUCGCGGCCUAUCAGCUAGUUGGUGAGGUAAUGGCUCACCAAGGCGACGACGGGUAGCCGGCCUGAGAGGGCGACGGGCCACACUGGGACUGAGACACGGCCCAGACUCCUACGGGAGGCAGGAGUGGGGAAUAUUGGGCAAUGGGCGCAAGCCUGACCCAGCGACGCCGCGUGAGGGAUGAAGGCCUUCGGGUUGUAAACCUCUUUCAGUAGGGAAGAAGCGAAAGUGACGGUACCUAAAGAAGAAGCACCGGCUAACUAUGUGCCAGCCGCCGCAGUAA
rnacentral:rRNA from 1 species